CAGCAGCCGCGGGAAUACGUAGGUGACAAGCGUUGUCCGGAAUUAUUGGGCGUAAAGGGAGCGCAGGCGGUUGGAAUAGUCUGAUGUGAAAGCCCACGGCUUAACCGUGGAAUUGCAUUGGAAACUGUCCAACUUGAAUGCAGAAGAGGAAAGCGGAAUUCCAUGUGUAGCGGUGAAAUGCGUAGAGAUGUGGAGGAACACCAGUGGCGAAGGCGACUCUCUGGUCUGUAACUGACGCUGAGGAGCGAAAGCGUGGGGAGCGAACAGGAUUAGAUACCCCAGUAGUCCCUGUCUCUUAUAA
rnacentral:rRNA from 1 species